GAGAGAAGCCUCCAAAGUCUUAAGUGGACAUAGGAAAUAUGAUUCCCCUCAAAAUGAAAAGUGGCCCAUGGAAAUUUCCAGCUUUACAUAGAAUGGGAAGGAGAGUGAGACAGUUCCCCACAAUAGGAACUGAGCCUAUAGCUUCCACCAGAGAACCUACAGUGGGAAGGUUGUCCUGAUUUCUUUCAGAGAUCCAGGCUGAGACAGUGAGGAGCGUUGUGGGGAAGCACCGAGGCCGGCUGGAUUUGGAAAUGCAAAACCAUUGAUUUCCCUCCUCACUCCCAGCUCCUCCCUCAGUAUCGGAAAUAUGUGAUGGGCACAUGGUAACCAUGUUAGGAGACCCAGUGAUGCAUGGAAGAACAAAAGCCCUAGGAACAAAUUCUUGCCAACAAUUCGUCUGGGCUGGGAAGAGAGCUGGGAGAAGAUCAGAUGAAAUUCAGAAUCAAUUGGACAAGCUCCCUACCAAUGUAAUGUCCUGCUGAAAUCAUGUUGAACCUAAAGACUCGUUUAGGAAAUGCUGUUUUCUAUACCUUAGUACCUGGGAGCAUUGAUUUCUAAAGCAAGACUUCAGACCUACUGUUUGCUAUUUUCAAGUUAUGUGACCCUGGGAAAAUGACUUGGUCCUGCCUGGCUUCAGUUUCCUUUGCUGGACUAUCAACUCCAUCAAGGCAAGGUUGUGGUGUCUCUCCAGUGUGGCAAAAAAUGGCACUCGAUCAAAUAUAUACAUGUUAAGAGUGAGUAAAGUAUUUAAAGAAUCCAUUGACAAUCCAUCCAGAAAUAUUAUGAGGAUAAUAAUUCUUAGGUUAUAGAUCAUGAGAGCUAAAAAUUCUAAAUGCCUAGCAUAGCGGCUGAUUCAUGUCUGAUGUUCAAUUUAUCGUUAUUAUUGGCAUUACUAUAUUCAUGAUAUUUAGUCUUCUUAUUUGGCAAUAUGAAAUGUCUCUCAAUUUAUUCAAAUUCCUUUUAUAUAUCUCAAGUACCUUUCUGUCAUUGAUACCAUACAAUUCUGCUUAUGCUUA